UGGGGGAUAUUGCACAAUGGGGGAAACCCUGAUGCAGCAACGCCGCGUGAAGGAAGAAGGUCUUCGGAUUGUAAACUUUUGUCUUGCGGGACGAAUAAUGACGGUACCGCAGGAGGAAGCCACGGCUAACUACGUGCCAGCAGCCGCGGUAAUACGUAGGUGGCGAGCGUUGUCCGGAAUUACUGGGUGUAAAGGGUGCGUAGGCGGAUUUGCAAGUCAGACGUGAAAACUAUCGGCUUAACCGGUAGCCUGCGUUUGAAACUGUGAGUCUUGAGUGGUGAAGAGGUAAGCGGAAUUCCUAGUGUAGCGGUGAAAUGCGUAGAUAUUAGGAGGAACACCAGUGGCGAAGGCGGCUUACUGGGCACUAACUGACGCUGAGGCGCGAAAGCAUGGGGAGCAAACA
rnacentral:rRNA from 1 species